rnacentral:rRNA from 1 species
UACGAAGGAUGCGAGCGUUAUCCGGAUUUAUUGGGUUUAAAGGGUGCGUAGGCGGUCUUAUAAGUCAGUGGUGAAAUCUUGUCGCUUAACGACAAACGUGCCAUUGAUACUGUAGGACUUGAGUACAGAUGCCGUUGGCGGAAUGUGUCAUGUAGCGGUGGAAAUGCAUAGAUAUGACACAGAACACCGAUGCGAAGGCAGCUGACGAAACGUGAACUGACGCUGAUGCACGAAAGCGUGGGGAUCAAACAGG